UACGUAGGGUGCGAGCGUUGUCCGGAAUUAUUGGGCGUAAAGAGCUCGUAGGCGGCUUGUCGCGUCGGAUGUGAAAGCCCGGGGCUUAACUCCGGGUCUGCAUUCGAUACGGGCAGGCUAGAGUUCGGUAGGGGAGAUCGGAAUUCCUGGUGUAGCGGUGAAAUGCGCAGAUAUCAGGAGGAACACCGGUGGCGAAGGCGGAUCUCUGGGCCGAUACUGACGCUGAGGAGCGAAAGCGUGGGGAGCGAGCAGG
rnacentral:rRNA from 1 species